AUACCUAACUGAUAGACUGAAUGUAACAUACAACUAGGAUAGAAUUAUUUUAAAUGUAUCCGCCAAAAUUAGUUCAGCAAACGUUAUUUGAAAGUUUUGUUUAGAUCUAUUUGACAGUACCGUUCGGAAUAUAAAAUGCUGAGGUCAUUCAAGAAAUCACACAUCUAUGUAAUAUGAUAAAUGUAGAAGAUAUAAAACGAAAUGCACUGCAUGCCUCUGGAAACGCUAUUCAGAAUAAGGUUGUAUUUGACUGAAUAAUUAUCUAUGUAAUGCUUGACAUGAAACCACAAUUUUCAAUCCUGU
rnacentral:lncRNA from 1 species